AUGUGGGUGACAGCGUCCCGUGGCCACCAGCCCCUCUGUCUGCGCUGCCCACUGGUGCCAGCCAGCGCAGGGUCCCCUCUCCUGGCAGGAGGGGAGGCCAGUGCCACCACGGGGCUCAGCACAGCUUCGUGCCACCAGGACCCUUCCCGGGGCCACCCCGCUGCCCGUCACCCCACAGCCCCCCGGGGAGAGGUGCCUGCAGCCCCGCUCACAGCUUUCUGCAAGGUUUUAUUACCCAACACCCAAAUUGACAAGUUUAGUCCUCCCUCCCCUUCCUCCCCCCACCCCCCAACAAAAAAAGAAAUGAAGAGGAAAAAGAAGAAAGUCGGGGACCGAGCCGCAGUACCGGUGUGCUGCAGCGCAGGGCUGGAGGGCAGGGGACAGGCGGGGAUGCCGCACGGGCACGGGGCUCCCAAGCAGCCCCCGUUGCAGCCUCCUGCAGCUCAGGUGCUCGCCCAGCUCCUGGGGCCCUGUGGGACCAGUCUUCUGCUGGGGCCGGGCUGGAGGGAGGACGAGGUGCCGGGUCCCACGGCGCAGCAGGGAUGCCGCGGUGCUGCUGGCAGCUGGAUGCUCGCCCCCCCGGUGCGCCGACCCUUUGCUCCCAAAGCUUCCCAGCACGGCAGGGACGUAGGAAAAGUGUUUCAAAAGAGCCACGGCCCCGCAGGCCGCUGGGGAGGAGGUGGCUCGCAGCUGAAAAUGUCUCUUAAAAAGCUCCAAAAAUGCAAACACGGUUCAGUAAAAGCCCCCUAUCCCCACCACCCCUGCAAAAACCCAGUGGUAAAAAGUGGCAGCGCUUUGCAGCUGGCAUGGCCCUGGCUGCUGGCCGGGAGAGCAGCAAGUGGGCCCGAGGACCCACAAAGGGACACGCGCCCGGGGCAUCUCAGGCACCCACCGGGGUCCUGCUCGUGGCAGCGGGGCUGGGCAGGCAGGACGGACACGGCAUCAGGGCGGGCACCGUCCCCACCGCCAGCUGUGACGGGGACAAGGAUGUGCCCUGUGCUCCGACGCAGCCAAGGAGGGCGGGGGGCCAUGGGGACAGCCUCCCCGAGCGCCUCCAGCCACAGUGACGGGGACAAGCAGCCCGUGGCCCCGAGCACACAGGCUCCGUGUCCCAGUUGUGGCUGGCCCCACUGUCCCUCCAGCAAAUCCAUUUUUUGGGGUGGGCACGGCCAGGGGCGGGUGGCACUGUGA
rnacentral:lncRNA from 1 species